CCUACGGGAGGCAGCAGUGAGGAAUAUUGGUCAAUGGCCGGAAGGCUGAACCAGCCAUGCCGCGUGAAGGGCAGGGCCCUAGGGGCGUUAAACUUCUUUUGUGCGGGAGCAAGAAUGGUCACGUGUGGCCAGACGAGAGUACCGUACGAAUAAGCAUCGGCGAACUCCGUGCCAGCAGCCGCGGUAAUACGGGGGAUGCAAGCGUUUUCCGGCUUUCUUGGGUGUCAAGGGUGCGUAGGCUGUGAGGUAAGUCAGCGGGGAAAUGCCCCCGCUCAACGGGGUGAAGUGCCAUUGAUACUGCCUUGCUUGACUGCGGCUGCCGUGGGUGGCAUGUGUGGUGUAGCGGUUAAAUGCAUCGAUCUCACGC
rnacentral:rRNA from 1 species